rnacentral:lncRNA from 12 species
CCCAUCCAGUUGUAUUAAUUUGUAUGUCUUUUGCUCACCAUGACACAGGACAUUUUUCAAAAGCAUAUUGGGUGUUCUGAAUUUCUUUUCUUGAUUAGAUUGUUCCUACAUCUUCCACUUGGAUCUCAUGUUUUUCUCACCAAUUUCUAUGAAAAUAAUUGGAAUUAAUGUUCUAGUUCUUGCAUACCAUUUUUGAAAUGGUCUCAGUUAAUGAGGGAAAAGAUUUGACUCUGUGCUUUCCCCAGGCCUCAUACGCUGCAUUUUCCAGAGACGUUUAAAAGGUCAGAGCUACUUCAAAGUCAGACUUCAGGCUGAAUGGACCGCCACCAGAAGGCAAUGCAGUUUUAGAUAUGUUCCACCGGUUUUGAAAUGAGCUAAAAUUUUGACUUCUUAAAAUGUCAAGCUCAUAAAUUCACCCCUUCAGACAAAACCAGGUGCCGAUCACCACUCAACAGAUACUCACUUAGCCGUGAUGACGUGGGGUCCUUGAGCUACCGCUCCACAAAGAACCACAUUCAGUCCUUGUCAGUGUUUACAGGCAAUGAUGAAACUUCAAAUUCUCUUAGCCCUCUUUAAAUUCUCCUCAUCCACUUUUUUUUUUCCAAAUCCAGUAAUUCAGAGUUAAAAUAUAAAAAGCACUUACAAUUUUGGUGCAGACAGAAAUCAAGAAUGAUUUUUUUAGUCUCUGAAGGUUUAUUUAAUAGAUGCCCAGAGUAGAUCUUUCUUCCUAAAAUAACUGCCUCCAUCUGUGCCUCAGAAUCAGGGGCUGUGAACCGUGCACUUUCUUCAAAGAUCCUCCACUCCCGGCGGAGGUUCUGGAAGCCCACAGGAUGGGAACCAAGGGGAAUCCCACAGUGGCCCUGGGGACUCAUCUCCAUUGGAGAAGCCUCUUGCCUGCCUGGCAUCUGCUGUGAACACCCCCAUACCGGCAGCUCCACGCAGCUCCAGGUAAACCAGCACCUCCAAGACUCCAUUUCCUCCUCCAUAGAGCAAGGCCAACAAGAGAAGCAUUGGAUCAGCUGUGAAGACCUGGGUUAUUAUGCAGGUGACCUGGGAGCUUAGGGCCAGAGGGGGCGGUGUCCCUCUCUUCCCUCAGGACCUCUCAGUGCUCGCUGCCCACCAGCAGAUGGAUGACACUGCAGUCUACUCAGGGACAAAUGUGUUUCUGACAAUAAGAGCCAGAAAAUGAACCGGUCUAAAUUUAGGUCCUGCUCCGUCACACCACCACAGGACCAGGUAUAACCUGCUGGGCGUGAGCCAGGGGACAGGCGCAUACCUGGGGCAUUCGAAAGGCUGCAGGACACCCCUCAGGAUGGCAGGCUGUCGGGGCCAGGCAGAGGAGGGGACAUCGUGAACCGCGAAGUGCCCUCCAAACGGGAGGCAUUGCUAACAGUGACAAAGACAGGGGUAGCCCAGGCGGCUGCGGGCUGCCUGGUGUGCUGGAAACAAACCUGUCACUCCAGCGGCACAGCUGCCU